AAUGAACGCUGGCGGCGUGCUUAACACAUGCAAGUCGAACGAGGCGGAAGGGGCGAACUCCUUCCAUCGAGUGGCGGACGGGUGGAGUAACAACGUGGGUAACCGUGCCCGGAACGUGUGGAAGUAACCUCGGGAACGUACGAGCUAAUAACCGCCAUGACAUCUUCGGGUACGGAAAGUACCUGACGAUCAAAGACGGGGUCGGCAAGAUCUCGCGCUACCGGA
rnacentral:rRNA from 1 species